rnacentral:lncRNA from 1 species
UUCAUCAUCCAUCUCACAAUCAUUCAUCACUCAACUUCACAAAUCAACCUCACUCUCAAUUGAUCACACUCAAUCAGAAUUCACUCACAAAUCAACCUCACUCAUCAAAAACACGAAUUCAAGACUCAACACGAGAAAGAGAGGAAGAAUAAGUGAUUUUUGAAGAUUGAUUAGGAAUUCUCCAAGAUUUGGUGAAAUUCCAUAUUGGGAAU